rnacentral:rRNA from 1 species
GACGGAAGGUGCAAGCGUUGCUCGGAAUCAUUGGGCGUAAAGGGUGCGUAGGCGGCUUGGUCAGUCGGGUGUGAAAGCCCCGGGCUUAGCCUGGGAAGGGCAGUCGAUACUACUAAGCUGGAGUGCCGGAGGGGAGAGUGGAAUUCCUGGUGUAGCGGUGAAAUGCGUAGAGAUCAGGAAGAACACCUAUGGCGAAGGCAGCACUCUGGGACGGUACUGACGCUGAGACGCGAAAGCGUGGGGGGAGCGAACAGG